AGUGGCGAACGGGUGAGUAAUACAUCGGAACGUGCCCUGUAGUGGGGGAUAACUAGUCGAAAGAUUAGCUAAUACCGCAUACGACCUGAGGGUGAAAGUGGGGGACCGCAAGGCCUCAUGCUAUAGGAGCGGCCGAUGUCUGAUUAGCUAGUUGGUGGGGUAAAGGCCCACCAAGGCGACGAUCAGUAGCUGGUCUGAGAGGACGAUCAGCCACACUGGGACUGAGACACGGCCCAGACUCCUACGGGAGGCAGCAGUGGGGAAUUUUGGACAAUGGGCGAAAGCCUGAUCCAGCAAUGCCGCGUGUGUGAAGAAGGCCUUCGGGUUGUAAAGCACUUUUGUCCGGAAAGAAAUGGCUCUGGUUAAUACCUGGGGUCGAUGACGGUACCGGAAGAAUAAGGACCGGCUAACUACGUGCCAGCAGCCGCGGUAAUACGUAGGGUCCAAGCGUUAAUCGGAAUUACUGGGCGUAAAGCGUGCGCAGGCGGUUGUGCAAGACCGAUGUGAAAUCCCCGAGCUUAACUUGGGAAUUGCAUUGGUGACUGCACGGCUAGAGUGUGUCAGAGGGGGGUAGAAUUCCACGUGUAGCAGUGAAAUGCGUAGAGAUGUGGAGGAAUACCGAUGGCGAAGGCAGCCCCCUGGGAUAACACUGACGCUCAUGCACGAAAGCGUGGGGAGCAAACAGGAUUAGAUACCCUGGUAGUCCACGCCCUAAAACGAUGUCAACUAGUUGUUGGGGAUUCAUUUCCUUAGUAACGUAGCUAACGCGUGAAAGUUGACCGCCUGGGGAGUACGGUCGCAAGAUUAAAACUCAAAGGAAUUGACGGGGACCCGCACAAGCGGUG
rnacentral:rRNA from 1 species